GAACCUGAGAGUUUGAUCCUGGCUCAGAACGAACGCUGGCGGCAUGCCUAACACAUGCAAGUCGAACGAGGGUUUCCUUCGGGGGGCCUUAGUGGCGCACGGGUGAGUAACACGUGGGAACCUGCCUUUCGGUUCGGAAUAACGUCUGGAAACGGACGCUAACACCGGAUACGCCCUAUGGGGGAAAGUUUACGCCGAGAGAGGGGCCCGCGUCGGAUUAGGUAGUUGGUGAGGUAAUGGCUCACCAAGCCUGCGAU
rnacentral:rRNA from 1 species